GGGACGAAGAUUAUUAGUAGUGGUACAGUUAACCAAAAGGCUACAAUAAUAUACUAUAUGGUUUGGCAUAAUUAAUGAUCAGUGUUCUGGUUUGAUAAUCAUUAUUACACACUAGGUCACUGGGACACAUCACAAUUUAAGAUCUUUCUGUUAGUUUGGAUUUGGUGUUAGAAAUUCAUUUACCUCUACAAGAUCAACACACUCAAGAAUCCUUACAACUAUACCUAUAGGACUAAAGUUCGAGACUAUGGCACAAAGCCACAUGAUAGUGUCUCAUACCUCAUGUCGUUUCCUAUUCUUAAAACGGCAGAAUUGUACUUUUAAUGUAUUUCUUUCUAUGGCAUGACCAGUUUAUCACCGAGAUUCUUUUUUUUUUUUUUUUUUUGUCACUAAUCACCGAGAUUCUUUUAUCUUACAAUAACGUGUCAAGUGGUUUCAGCAUGAGUUCCAAGGUAUACUAGGUUCAAAGUUCAAGAACUCUUUUUGGGGAAAACCCUAAAUUACUUGCUCGUGCUUGAAGAAGAAAACUUGAGCAUACACAUUAAUUUUGUUAGUUAAUUUGACUAGGUGUUAUUUCAUUAAACAAGAGAUUCCAUGGUACUUCAAAAAGAAGUACUUGUCUGACUAAAGAUAAACAAAGCACUUUGAAAGAGAAUGCUUGAGGGGAAAUUAAAUUUAACAGCUGCAAAUAUCUAGAAAUUUCUAGCACGAUUUUGUAAAAGAGAGAAAAAACUAAUAGCAUU
rnacentral:lncRNA from 1 species